UCCAGAAACUGGAAGUCAGAACUUGCGAUUGCUUCAUUCUGGCCCCUUUAAGCACUGCCAUGUUCAUCCCUGGAUGUUCAGUUGCAACCAUCCCUGCUGCACCCUAUGGUCAGCUUUGGGAAUCUUGUCAACCAUUUCUUCAUUUCUGCACAUUUGAUUCCUCUGAACAUUAGGCAGCUGAAGGUAUCAUCUCCAUAAAACAUGCAAGCAGGCUGUCUCCUAUUCCGGUAACUGGAAUAUCAGGAUUCUCCAAAGAAUCAUGUGAUGACAAGGCAGCACACAGCUGCCCUCUGGAGUGCUGUUGUCCUUCACUCUUGCUGGAAGCCACCUGACCACUGCCAGGAAGAAGAAUGCAAAACAUUCCCAGGAGCGGCUGUGACGUCAGUACCACAUUCCACUCUCCGCGGUCAGGACUGUGGGGAAACUCCAGCCUCUAGCGAACCCUUCAGAUGAGAUAACAGCUGAGCCUGCACUAAAUCACACUGAGAACUUCCCAAUGUUAUGCUUUAAAGAUAUUUUUUAUAAAAAGGAGGGAGGGCAGGAACAGAGCUGGCUUUUUAAGGCAUAUUUACUGUUAAUCUUCAAAAGUGCUUUUUUGUUUGCUAUGUGGAGGGAAAUCAAGGAAAAAUGAUUUACCAACAGUCAUCAGCAUACCAAUCCCUUUGGGCCAGUGAUUUUCAACCAGGGUGCUGCAAGAAUGUUUAAAACAUGCAAUACCUGACUAUUUAGUCCGGGGCACUGAGCUCUUUGCCCUUAGAUUUGUAAAAUAAAACAGUGACAACAGCCAACACAACAACAGCUGUCUGGUGUGAAUGAGUCAAAAUCACACCUAUUUUUUGUCAAAUUGGCAAAAAAUACAUUUUUUUGGUGUGCCCUAGAAUUUUAGUAAUUACUUUAUGUGUGCCAUGAGAUGAAAAGGCUUGAAAAUAGUUGCCUUAGGCAUUAGCGUGUAAAUAGGGUAAGAUGAACAACAGAUUAGUUUGGGCCUCAACCAGUAGAACUUGCUCAAUUAAACAAACCCAACAACCCAGUCUCCAAACCCCUUUCCAGGAGAAAAAGACGAAAAGUCCCACUCAAGAAGGCAUAGACACGUUUAGACAGCAGUAAAAACCUUUUAUCUAAAGGGAAAUAGUGUAAAGAGAUACAAACUAAACGGUACAAGUAUUACAAAGAAAAUACAAACGUUUAUAUGCAUAAUCCUGUUAUAUGCAACUUUCAUUUGUAACUUCCUAGAGUCCUCAACAAGCACAUUUAACAUAUAUUUUGUACACUGUCUUUGCAUAUAUCAAACACUUUCCCAUGCUGAUUAUGAUCAUCUAUACUUUAUGAAACUCUAAAACUGUAAAAUGUUUCUUGGGGAGAAGGGAGGAGGGGUCUCUUACAAAAAUGUUUUAAUGCGCAUCAUUUUUUUUGUGUGUUUUUCUAAAUAAUAUCCUUGGAAUAAACUUGCAGGCAUGGAUAACUAAA